CUGGAUCCAGAACACGCUAUAGUGCUUGCUACAAAGAAAUUGGCAGUGCCUCCAAAACCUGCAAAUAGGGCUGGGCGGGGAAUAAAAUGUCUGACGUAACAGAUUUUUCAAUUCCGCGGAAUGCAAAUAAGUGGGCGUGGCCAACUCUGCCCUCCAGCAUGUUAGACUGAGUGUGACGGAGAAACAUGUAAAAUAGUUCACUUAUAAAAAAUGAACGAGUUAUUUGUGUAAUUUUUAUAAUAAGUGCCAGUGAAUCCACCGCGGGUCAUGCAGCAGCCGGCCAGUCUCUCGCGUGCAGAGGUCUCUAGGCAAGCACAAGGAGCUGCGACGCCAAAUAAAGAGUUCUUCUCGAACUCGAAUGCUAAUAGUCGUAAAGUUUUCUGAACUUUAAGCAAGCUAAGACAAAACUCCCGUUUAUAUCAGUGACACGUGCGCUGCUGGAGCGAUGUAGUUUGACGCGCCAUUUGCUUACAAACAUAUUUGAUCGGAAAGACGAGAAAAAGAUGCAAAUGUUAAGGUCUAAUAGAAAGUAAAGGGUGUCAAAACCUUAAAACAAACUUUAUGAUCAUCACAUCAUAGCACAUGUCACAUUUAUAAUAUCUAGAGCUUCUUCUCUCAUAUACAGGUAUAGUAUUUAUCCUGUCUGUAGGUUUUUGCAUAUAUUUAUACAUGUUCAUUUUACAUAUUGCAUAUGUUUAAUGUAAUAUAUGCAUAAAUACAAAAUACAAUGAAGCCUGCCAUACUAUAGCUUCAAUAGUCUAUAAAAUUAAUAACUCAAUUAAAAACAAGAUUCUGUUUAAUCAAGACUUAUCUGUUGUUAUCUUCUGGGCAUUUUCACUUUAACAUUAUUAACUUUAAAUUGCUCAUAUUUUAAAAACUGUGGUGAGCAUUUAGUUAAAAGCUAUAGUGAGUGGUGUAAAUAAAUUUUUAUCAUCAAAAAACAAUAUAAACUGAAAAACAUUUAUACCGUGAAAUAUUCCGUUCCAUGAAAUAAAAUAACUCAUUCCGUGAAAUAGAUUUUUGGUCAUUCCGCCCACCCCUACCUGCAAAUACUGUGGAGUAAAGAUUAUACAAAAGAAAAAACUUGGAAGCCCCAAAAGUAAAAUUUGAUGAUCAGUGGGCAAAAUUAUGAACUGUGUGGACUUGCUUCUUCGUAAGAUGGAAUUACUGGGCUUCUCUCCAAUGCUCUUUAUUACAACGCAGAGAGGCCCGCAUCGCUCCACAAAAAACGUCAACGUUCAGAGGCAUCAUUCAGUACCAGUCAUGCAGAGACUUUAUGAGGCUGUUGUAAGAGGCAUUUAUGUGUACACAUGCAUUUACCAAUUGAAAAACUUUUUGUAUUAUAAUGGUCUUUUUUCACAGAUUGUGAUGAUGCAUUUCCACAGUUAUUAACAUGCCUAUCCCCUGUAUGUCAUCGAUGCGCUACUUCAAAGAUGUGAGGAAAAGAACAUACACCUGCGAGUAGUCUGUUACAUUGCCUGUGUUAUUGCCUCACAUUUGCAGAAAUCAGGUGAGGGCAUAUCACACAACAUUGCCUUGGCCGUACCAGCAUUUCAUGUUUAUGGACACAAAUUGCCCUGCCAGAUCAAGUACAGAACCAGAUGGCUUGAUGAGUUUGGGCUCACAGACGGGGAAGGAAUGGAAAGGCUGUGGUCUUUCCUCCAAAGAUUUGCCAGAGUCACAAAGGAGAUGACUCCAUCUCAUCGCCUUGACCUACUGACUGAUGCCCUUUUGCAUUAUGGACGGAGGAAAUCAACUGACCUAGAGGUGCAGCUCCUGCAAAGAAUAGACAAAGCAGAGAAAAUAUUGAUUCUCGCUCCUCAAGAAGAUAUCUCAUCUGUCAUCAGAGAGGCAUCAGGUAAACAAUGCACAUAAGAAGCAGUGUUGAUUUCUGAAGGAGACAUGGAGAGAUGGAAAAAGCUAGCCCAACAGAAACCAAUAAACACUGUCUGUAGAUGGAAAAGGGACUACAUCAUCAGACUGAUUCAGUUCUACAAGUUCAAAAUUGAGGACUCUGCUGAACAUUGAGGAAAAAAUACCGUAUCGGGAGAAGAUGGCAAGAGUCUGAUUCAAACUUCCAGUCUACCCUUAAAGAUGUGGACCGUGAGCUCAGAGUCCAACUGCAAGGCUAGAACUGAAUCAAGGGAGAGAGCAGUCGUCCUCCACCUGAGACGAAUAUAUCCAGCUUUGCUUCAGAUGGGCAGGGCAUUGCCAUUAGACUCUCCAAGCAGGUAGCCAAUUGAUUUUCAGGAAUCAUGUGAUCCCUCUUGGCAUGUCUACUUCUGCUUUAAUGACACUAUUGAAGAAGAUGAUGUUUCGAUGAGUCUAAAAAGGCGAGGGAUUGAUGCCUUACAUAUGAAGACUCGGGCAGCUGAGGAAAAGUGCAUGCUUUACCAGGAAAUGAGAAGUCUAAGUGGCCAGUCACACCAAAAGCGUUUAUGGCUGUUGCAGGCGCCUUUUUUGAAUGAUAUUCUAUGGGCAGGGCGCGUUUGCGCGCUGUUUAUGCGCGCCGAGCGCCUUGCGUUUUUGAAGGAGCGCUGAGAGCGGAGAAGCGCCGACGUCAUUCGGGUCUUUCCAUUGUCCAAUCGAAUGAGGGGAGAGGCGGGCCUUACGUUGUGGUGAGUGAAGUUUACAGUUGCUUUGAAGAACCGGACUCCACUCGCUCACUCUCUCCUGCAUGUUUGUGCACCUCUCACCCCCAAACAAGGUCAGAGCAAGCGUCAUCUUUUUAAAGUUUCUGUUAAUAUGACAGUUAACAGCAAAAGAGCGCUCACACUUCAAUAUUUGAUUGACAAGACAGCUGACUCGGUGGUUGCUUAGCAAUAUGAAAAGCCGCGUCGCACUGCUCUUUUUUUCGCGCCUUGCGUUUGCAAGCGUUUAAAGCGCUUUUGGUGUGACCGGCCCCUAACUGAACACCCCAUCAGCAGCAGGCCUCUAACAUUUGUGCUCUAACAUCAAAGACACUGAGCAGCCUGGUGCAAAAGCUGCUCUCAUUCAACACGUCCAACACCUGGAAAGAAAACUACAUCAAGCCAUUGUGAUGUUUCACCCACAGACAACCCCCACUUGUGUCAGGCCCUCCCGAUGCCAAGCAUACAGACACUGGUAUACAAUGAUAAGAGUGAUAAUGAUGAAAAUGUGGAUAAAUAUGAUAACUAGCACUACAGAUUUUUUGUUAAUUUCUAGUCUGAUAUUGUAUUCUGUAAAAAGAAAGAUGUAAAAUGGUUAGUAUAUGUUGCAGCAUAUCAUAGAAACCUUUAUGGUGGUGUAAUAUAAUGUUCGCCUUACUUGUGCAAACAUGAUGUUUUACUAGGUCUGAUUUAUUUUAAAGCGUAGGUACUGUUUUUAAGCACACAUAUUCACACUAGUCUGUGUGAGGACAAAAUUGUGUGUUUACCAUUGUGAUGUUACUUAUUUACUGUAAUGUACAAAUGUGGUCAAUGUGUGUAAGGUGUUUUGUUUUUGAAUCCUUUGAAACAAAUACUGUAAAAGUUUGUAAAAAAUAAAAAGUUUUCCACAAUGAGUUAUAAUCAUGAUUUCAGCUAUUGUCACAGCACACUUUAGAGGUAAAUGAAUUGUGAUGAACUUAAUAAAUGACUUAUGAUUUAUUUUACAGUCA